UACGUAGGGUGCAAGCGUUGUCCGGAAUUAUUGGGCGUAAAGAGCUCGUAGGCGGUUUGUCGCGUCUGCUGUGAAAACUCGGGGCUUAACUCCGGGCCUGCAGUGGGUACGGGCAGACUAGAGUGCGGUAGGGGAGACUGGAAUUCCUGGUGUAGCGGUGAAAUGCGCAGAUAUCGGGAGGAACACCGGUGGCGAAGGCGGUUCUCUGGGCCUUACCUGACGCUGAGGAGCGAAAGCGUGGGGAGCAAACAGG
rnacentral:rRNA from 1 species